rnacentral:rRNA from 1 species
GAUGAACGCUAGCUACAGGCUUAACACAUGCAAGUCGAGGGGAAACGACAUUGAAGCUUGCUUCGAUGGUCGUCGACCGGCGCACGGGUGAGUAACGCGUAUCCAACCUGCCUCUGACCAAGGGAUAACCCGUCGAAAGUCGGCCUAAUACCUUAUGCAGUCGUCGGAAGUCAUCUGAUGACGACGAAAGAUUUCAUCGGUGAGAGAUGGGGAUGCGUCUGAUUAGCUUGUUGGCGGGGUAACGGCCCACCAAGGCAACGAUCAGUAGGGGUUCUGAGAGGAAGGUCCCCCACAUUGGAACUGAGACACGGUCCAAACUCCUACGGGAGGCAGCAGUGAGGAAUAUUGGUCAAUGGGCGAGAGCCUGAACCAGCCAAGUAGCGUGCAGGAUGACGGCCCUAUGGGUUGUAAACUGCUUUUAUGCGGGGAUAAAGUGUGGGACGUGUCCUUCAUUGCAGGUACCGCAUGAAUAAGGACCGGCUAAUUCCGUG